GGGCCUGUAGUCUAAUGGAUAGGACACUGGGCUUCGGACCCAGGAAUCGGGGUUCGAAUCCUCGCAGGCCCG
rnacentral:tRNA from 1 species